rnacentral:rRNA from 1 species
AAGGCUAAAUACUCCUGACUGACCGAUAGUGAACCAGUACCGUGAGGGAAAGGCGAAAAGAACCCCGGCGAGGGGAGUGAAAAAGAACCUGAAACCGUGUACGUACAAGCAGUGGGAGCACCCUUUGGGUGUGACUGCGUACCUUUUGUAUAAUGGGUCAGCGACUUAUAUUCUGUAGCAAGGUUAACCGAAUAGGGGAGCCGGAGGGAAACCGAGUCUUAACCGGGCGUUAAGUUGCAGGGUAUAGACCCGAAACCCGGUGAUCUAGCCAUGGGCAGGUUGAAGGUUGGGUAACACUAACUGGAGGACCGAACCGACUAAUGUUGAAAAAUUAGCGGAUGACCUGUGGCUGGGGGUGAAAGGCCAAUCAAACCGGGAGAUAGCUGGUUCUCCCCGAAAGCUAUUUAGGUAGCGCCUCGUGAAUUCAUCUCCGGGGGUAGAGCACUGUUUCGGCUAGGGGGCCAUCCCGGCUUACCAACCCGAUGCAAACUGCGAAUACCGGAGAAUGUUAUCACGGGAGACACACGGCGGGUGCUAACGUCCGUCGUGAAGAGGGAAACAACCCAGACCGCCAGCUAAGGUCCCAAAGUCAUGGUUAAGUGGGAAACGAUGUGGGAAGGCCCAGACAGCCAGGAUGUUGGCUUAGAAGCAGCCAUCAUUUAAAGAAAGCGUAAUAGCUCACUGGUCGAGUCGGCCUGCGCGGAAGAUGUAACGGGGCUAAACCAUGCACCGAAGCUGCGGCAGCGACACUGUGUGU